UUUGGCCUUUUACAUUUAAAACAUUAUCAGCUUUACAAAUCUUAUGCUAAUUUGAACAUGGCUAUUAGAAACAGGUGUAAUGAAUUGCCUUUCUCUGAGAUAUUGGGACUUCUGGAUUUCAGGCAGCCAGCCUGCUUGUACAUGGGCCCAAAGAAUAAAAAAGGCUUGUUACAAGAACACAAACUACAGCAACAACAUUUCACACAUUAUACUGAAACUUGAAGAAUCGUCAGUGAUGUGACAUGAACACAAAGGCUACUUUCAAGCAAAUUCAAGCAUUCUUGUACCUCAGUCUGCGUAAAAUAAAGAAAAUAUUAGAAAUGUAUUGCCUUUGCUUCUUUAAUCCAAUUCUGAUAAGACAGGAUUGUUUUUGUUAAAAGGGAGUAGAGAAUUCUGCACUGGUCACGUUUCAAAAAGACAUGUCUUUCAUCUGCAAACUAUAACACAGAUGGCAGACAGGUAAAAAAUACAAACAAGGUCUUGAGGAAAUGAUUUUCACUUAUUAACAGCUGCAUUCUCAUUUUUUUAUUCAUCCAUGUAUGUGCAUUAGGAAUCCCCUCUUUGCAAAACACAAUUAGUACACAUUUUACAGACAUAACAAAACUCAUCGAUCCUACCUACAUUUUAUGACUAUACGACUGUCGAUUUUUAUACUGUCUACAUUUUCCCUAAUAAACAACCUUCUGAUUAAUAAACUAA